rnacentral:rRNA from 2 species
UGCAGUCGAGCGACAGAUGAGAGCUUGCUUCUCUGAUGUUAGCGGCGGACGGGUGAGUAACACGUGGGUAACCUACCUAUAAGACUGGGAUAACUCCGGGAAACCGGGGCUAAUACCGGAUAAUAUUUUGAACCGCAUGGUUCAAUAGUGAAAGACGGUUUCGGCUGUCACUUAUAGAUGGACCCGCGCCGUAUUAGCUAGUUGGUAAGGUAAUGGCUUACCAAGGCGACGAUACGUAGCCGACCUGAGAGGGUGAUCGGCCACACUGGAACUGAGACACGGUCCAGACUCCUACGGGAGGCAGCAGUAGGGAAUCUUCCGCAAUGGGCGAAAGCCUGACGGAGCAACGCCGCGUGAGUGAUGAAGGUCUUCGGAUCGUAAAACUCUGUUGUUAGGGAAGAACAAAUUUGUUAGUAACUGAACAAGUCUUGACGGUACCUAACCAGAAAGCCACGGCUAACUACGUGCCAGCAGCCGCGGUAAUACGUAGGUGGCAAGCGUUAUCCGGAAUUAUUGGGCGUAAAGCGCGCGUAGGCGGUUUCUUAAGUCUGAUGUGAAAGCCCACGGCUCAACCGUGGAGGGUCAUUGGAAACUGGGAAACUUGAGUGCAGAAGAGGAGAGUGGAAUUCCAUGUGUAGCGGUGAAAUGCGCAGAGAUAUGGAGGAACACCAGUGGCGAAGGCGGCUCUCUGGUCUGUAACUGACGCUGAUGUGCGAAAGCGUGGGGAUCAAACAGGAUUAGAUACCCUGCUAGUCCACGCCGUAAACGAUGAGUGCUAAGUGUAGGGGUUUCCGCCCCCUUAGUGCUGCAGCUAACGCAUUAAGCACUCCCGCCUGGGGAGUACGACCGCAAGGUUGAAACUCCAAAGAGAAUUGACGGGGGACCCGCACAAGCGGUGGAGCAUGUGGUUUUAAUUCGAAAGCAACGCGAAAGGAACCUUACCAAAUCUUGACCAUCCUUUGACCGCUUCUAGAAGAUAAGAGUCUUCCCCUUCGGGGGACAAAAGUGACAGGUGGUGCAAUGGUUGUCGUCAGCUCGUGUCGUGAGAAUGUUGGGUUUAAGUCCCGCAAACGAAGCGCAAACCCUUAAGCUUAGUUGCCAAUCAAUUAAGUUGGGGCACUCUAGGUUUGACUGCCCGGUGACAAAACCGGAGGAAAGGUGGGGGAUGACGUCAAAAUCAUCAUGCCCCUUUAUGAUUUUGGGCUACACACGUGCUACCAAUGGAAUAAUACAAAAGGGCAAGCGAAAUCCGCGAAGGCCCAAGCAAAAUCCCCAUAAAAAUUUUUCUCAGUUUCGGAAUUGUAGUCUGCAACUCGACUACAGAAAGCUGGAAUCGCUAGUAAUCGUAGAUCAGCAUGCUACGGUGAAUACUUCCCGUUCUUGUACACACCGCCCUCACACCUCGA